rfam:Heterocephalus glaber contig221016, whole genome shotgun sequence.
GGAUGUGAGGGCCAUCUGGCUGUGACUUCUGUCACCCCAUUGAUUGCCAGGGUUGAUAUGGCUGAUAUGGCUGGCUAGGUGGGUGUGUUCCCUUUCUCCCAUCACUGCUCCAUGUGCUUCCCUCCCGAAGCUGUGUGCUUGAUCAAAGAGGACGACCAUCCCUGAUAGAGGAGGACUGUUUCCUCAGUCAAGGAUAUAUGAGUAGCUAGGUGCAUUCAUUCACCUGCUAGAACCUCCAGACAAGCUCCCAAAUAGGUUUUUAAUGAAGGUUUUAAUCUGAUGCUUUACCUGUUAGGUUGUUUAAGUAAUAGCAGUCUUA